rnacentral:rRNA from 1 species
CACGUGAGUAACCUGCCCUUAACUCUGGGAUAAGCCUGGGAAACUGGGUCUAAUACCGGAUAUGACUCCUCAUCGCAUGGUGGGGGGUGGAAAGCUUUAUUGUGGUUUUGGAUGGACUCGCGGCCUAUCAGCUUGUUGGUGAGGUAAUGGCUCACCAAGGCGACGACGGGUAGCCGGCCUGAGAGGGUGACCGGCCACACUGGGACUGAGACACGGCCCAGACUCCUACGGGAGGCAGCAGUGGGGAAUAUUGCACAAUGGGCGAAAGCCUGAUGCAGCGACGCCGCGUGAGGGAUGACGGCCUUCGGGUUGUAAACCUCUUUCAGUAGGGAAGAAGCGAAAGUGACGGUACCUGCAGAAGAGCGCCGGCUAACUACGUGCCAGCAGCCGCGGUAAUACGUAGGGCGCAAGCGUUAUCCGGAAUUAUUGGGCGUAAAGAGCUCGUA